AGUUCGGUCCCUAUCCGUCGUGGGUGUUAGAUAUUUGAAGGGAGCUGCUCCUAGUACGAGAGGACCGGAGUGGACAAACCUCUAGUGUUCUGGUUGUGAUGCCAAUUGCAUUGCCAGGUAGCUAUGUUUGGAAAGGAUAACCGCUGAAAGCAUCUAAGCGGGAAGCCAACCCUGAAACAAGAUAUCUCUUCUCCCCUCGGGGAGACGGUAGACUCCUUGAAGACUACAAGGUUGAUAGGCCGGAUGUGUAAGCACAGCAAUGUGUUCAGCUAACCGGUACUAAUAAGUCGUGAGGCUUGACCUUAU
rnacentral:rRNA from 1 species